rnacentral:rRNA from 1 species
UACAGAGGGUGCAAACGUUGUUCGGAAUUACUGGGCGUAAAGCGCGUGUAGGCGGCUCGGCAAGUCGGGUGUGAAAGCCCUGGGCUUAACCUAGGAAGUGCACUCGAAACUGCCAAGCUUGAGUUCUGGAGAGGAAGGCGGAAUUCUCGGUGUAGAGGUGAAAUUCGUAGAUAUCGGGAGGAACACCGGUGGCGAAGGCGGCGACCUGGGUAGAUACUGACGCUGAGGUGCGAAAGCGUGGGGAGCAAACAGG